rnacentral:rRNA from 1 species
CGGCCCGCACAAGCAGCGGAGCGUGUGGUUUAAUUCGAUGUUACACGAAGAACCUUACCAGGGUUUGACAUAUAAGUAGUAGGGAACUGAAAAGGGACUGACCCUUCGGGGAGCUUAUACAGGUGCUGCAUGGCUGUCGUCAGCUCGUGUCGUGAGAUGUUCGGUUAAGUCCGCUAACGAGCGCAACCCUCGCUGUGUGUUACAAGUGUCACACGGAACUGCCGGUCAUAAACCGGAGGAAGGUGGGGAUGACGUCAAGUCAGCAUGGCCUUUAUAUCCUGGGCUACACACACGCUACAAUGGGAAGGGACAAUAGGUAGCAACAGCGCGAGCUGAAGCUAAUCCCCAAAGCCAUCCUCAGUACAGAUUGCAGGCUGAAACCCGCCUGCAUGAAGUCGGAGUUGCUAGUAACCGCAAAUCAGCAUGUUGCGGUGAAUACGUUCUCGGGCCUU